rnacentral:rRNA from 1 species
GACGAACGCUGGCGGCGUGCUUAACACAUGCAAGUCGAACGGAAAGGCCCUGCUUGCAGGGUACUCGAGUGGCGAACGGGUGAGUAACACGUGGGUGAUCUGCCCUGCACUUCGGGAUAAGCUUGGGAAACUGGGUCUAAUACCGGAUAGGAGCCAUCUUUAGUGUGGUGGUUGGAAAGUUUUUUCGGUGUAGGAUGAGCUCGCGGCCUAUCAGCUUGUUGGUGGGGUAAUGGCCUACCAAGGCGGCGACGGGUAGCCGGCCUGAGAGGGUGUACGGCCACAUUGGGACUGAGAUACGGCCCAGACUCCUACGGGAGGCAGCAGUGGGGAAUAUUGCACAAUGGGCGCAAGCCUGAUGCAGCGACGCCGCGUGGGGGAUGAAGGCCUUCGGGUUGUAAACUCCUUUCGCUAGGGACGAAGCGUUGUUGUGACGGUACCUAGAGAAGAAGCACCGGCUAACUACGUG